AACGUAGGGGGCGAGCGUUGUCCGGAAUUAUUGGGCGUAAAGCGCGUGUAGGCGGAAACUUAAGUCAGGUGUGAAAACUCGGGGCUCAACCCCGAGCCUGCAUCUGAAACUGGGUUUCUUGAGGACGGGAGAGGAAAGUGGAAUUCCUAGUGUAGCGGUGAAAUGCGUAGAUAUUAGGAGGAACACCAGUGGCGAAGGCGACUUUCUGGACCGUAACUGACGCUGAGACGCGAAAGCGUGGGGAGCA
rnacentral:rRNA from 1 species